CCAUCUCUGAUAGGGUAACGUGGAAGCUCGAGACGAGGCUGCGUCCGCCGGUUGCGGAGCUGUCAGAGCGCUCGGACCGGCCGCUGGGGGAAGGCUGCCUGGAGUCUGACUGGCAGCCGCCGAGUCCGCAUGCGCAGGGGGCGAAAGGCUUUUGGAUCGGGCCGGCGUGCUGCGUUAGCGAGGAGGAGGAGGAGGAGGAUGUCAGCCAGGCGACGUUUUUCCAGGGUGCUGUUUGGAGAGGAAGGUGAAGCCGCGGCUUCGAGAUGAGAAGGCGAAACCUCCUCCCAAGAAGGGAGCUUUAAAGCUCCUAGAAUGGACUGAUUACCACGAGGAAUCAGAGUCCGCUCCCUGCCCCUGAGCAUCUCGGGACAAAUAACAGACUGAACUGGAGAAAAAAAAAAAAAGAAAGAGCACAUCACUGACCUAAGCCACCUAUUGAGGAUGGCUUGGAAGUUUGGGGACCUUCCCCCGCACCCCGACUGUCCAGGGGGCCAGCGUGUCCAGAAAGAGAGCAGAAUCCUGGAGUGGUUUGUGAAGAAGAAACCAGGGAGGUGUAGCAGCUGAGACAGCAAGGGGCUCUUGAGAGUGUGGCCAAGGUCAGCUACAAGGGAAAAAACACCUGUUAAACGGGAUCUUGCAUCUUCUGCUCAUCAGAGGAGACUCAACGGAAGAGAUAAGAUCUUGAACAAGAUAAAGUUCAAGUUACUUAAUUUGGCAUUUUAUUUGUUCACAGUCAUUUACUCUGACGUCUCCAACACGCACACUAUACCCAGUAGUGUUUUACUUGAGGUGCUGGGAAUAUAACGGUGAGCAAGAGAGACCUCGGCCCUUGUUCCCGCUGAUCCUGCAGCCCAGUGGAUGGAGUCCACAGCCUACAGACCUGCCAGGAAAGACAAAAGUUUUCCUGAUGGUUGGUCCAAGCCAGGGCUCCCUGGUGGAUUGAGGAAUGUCUGGCUUUUCCUCAGCUCAUUGAUCUCUGUGGUAGCCACAGGCAGCCCUCAGAAGACCCCAAGAAUGAAAGGCCCGAGGUCUACAAGUUGCUGCUAGAAAUUUUUUAGCCUCUCCAAAAAACAGAAUGCAGCUGCCACACAAGUUUGUAAGGUCCCUGGGCGCUCGCUGACCACGAGGGGGGGCCGGCGCGCCCUUUGCUCCCAGUCCCCGGGGCCAGGGACGCUGCCAUAGCAACGGCGGAGACGCUCAGAGCUUAGGCCGCUGCCUCCACCGCCGCCGCCUCCUGAGAGCUGGCUUUCUCCUGAUCGUGAGGAGCGGGGCGGCGGCGGUCCGGGGGGGCGGCCCGGGCCCGGGAGCCGUGUGCACCCCGUCCUCCGAUGCCAGCAGAGGUGGCCAAUUUGCUGCAAGCAUGGUAAGAGCUGGAGGCCGGGACGCCGGGCGAGGGGCGGCCGCGGGAGGCGGG